rnacentral:lncRNA from 1 species
GCCUGCCGAAUCCUCUCCGCCAUCUCAGUGUCCUCCAAUUCCAUGACUGGAGUCCACCACAGGGCAGUGCGACUUGGACUGCUGGCCCUUUCUCCCGGCUCCUGGCUCAGUAACCUGGGAGGGAGAGAAUCUGAUCCCUCCAGGUCCCUGGGUGAGGCCAGCGGAUGUUAGGAUGUCGCACCUGGCAGCCCAGCCCCUGGCUCUUCAGCCACCAAUCAAGGCACUGAGAAGAAGUUCGCGGCAGGUGGCAUCAAGGUCGCCAAUCAGCUGACCAUAAAAUAGGGAGCUGGGCCUGACGCUCGGGCCCAGCACAGCCACGUGAACCCUGAGAAGCGGGAGAGGCGGGGGAAGAAGAAAUUCGCUCUGCCCUCAGUAGCUCUGCAGGCCGAGGGCAGCACUUGGCCUCUGGGCUCGGAGAAUGGUCCGCACCAUCUCCCAGACACGGGGCUCUUGGUCGGACGGGAGCUGAAUUCUGCAAACCUGGAUGAGCAGGGACUCAGAGGGGUCCACUGAGUUUCCAGAAAGACAGCAGCCCGGCUGGGAACCUGACUUCGGCCUUGUGACCUCUGACCUAUAGAGAGUAUAAGCUUCCUCUGUCUGCAGGUCUUGGCCGGCUCUGCCAGCAUCCUGACCUUCCGCCGAAAGGAGGUCAGCACCUCGAUGGCGCCACUGCGCAUCUUCUCCUCCUGAGCCUCCGCACUCCCGAACUCGUCCACGUCGGAGAUUUUGUACAGGGGCAGCACGUGCAGCUGCUCAUCCUCGGGCACUACUCCGAAUUCUCGAUUGUCUUCCCUCGUGAGUGUGCACACCUGGUGGGCAAGGGAGACUUUAUGGCUCAGGGGCAGGUCCCUGAGCAGUGUGGACGUGCACUUCCUGUCUCAGCCCGCAGGCUUGUGCUGGGGCAGCGGCCGCCAUGCUGCUGUGCAACCCAAUAACUUACAAAUGCAGAUGGCGUCAAAAUGGUGCUGGGAGAGAUUCACAGUGCUGCCCUUUCUGUUGCUGUCUGAGUCUAUGCAGCCUGAAGUCUGACUUCAUAGACUUCCGCCCCCAGAGGAAGCCACGCUCCUACUAUAAAAAUGAAGGAGGCCAGCUCUGCUUUUCCUGCUUCAGAAAUGGGAGGGACAGAUUGGGGCUUCUUCUACAAAUGACCUUCCCAGGCCGUGGUGUCACCAUUGCCUGGUCUAGUUUUGUGCACAGAGAAGUAUCACCUCUUUCUUCACACCUGACUCCCAAAGCUCUGUUUAAGGAAUUCAUUGUGUUCAAGAUGCCUCGAAAGCCACCAGCGUGAAGAUGUGAAGAAUGAAAAACUGGAGACUGGGUUGAUACCGGUUAUACGCACCUAAUACUUUCUACUUCCCUCUGUUCUCCAUUAAACCUAACUCAGCGUUUCUCUUUGGUCUCAGGGCUUUUCUGAAAUUACCACCACAUACAACAAAACCCCGAAGCUGCCUUUUUUGCUUUGAUAAAUUAAUGACUUUUUUGGUAGUCACAGCAUCCUGGUUUUGAUGAAAGCUUGUUUAAUGGCAGUGUUUAGUAUUUAGGGUUUUUAAGGACAGGGUGGUGUAGAAUCACUGGAAGCCACCAGGGAAAGGGAGGUGACCCUUUGCCGGUGACUGGUGACUGUGAUAAGAACUGGGACCUGAGGCAGUGGGGACACUGUCACUUUUCCACAUUCCUGUUUCUAGGCACCUGGUUACUUUUUCCUCACAUACAGGUGAAUCCUUAUCCUACUCCUAUCCACUGCUGCCUUCCGUCCCACACAAUGAGGCUGUGGUUGGCCUCAGGCAAUUUCCUCAGUUCUGAACUCUGUCCUCCUCUUCCUGCUAGUGCAGGUCCCCUUCCCGGAAUCCAGGCCAGCUCCUAAUAUGAGCAGCUCUCGGGGUAGUCGGCGAUGCUUCCCGAAGUCAGGGUGGGCUCUCCGGGGUCUUCAAACAGGCCUGUGGCCAAUCUGCCUUGAGCCUCUGCUAGCAAUCAGAGUGGUUUCUGCAUUUUCAAGGGGCUAAAUUAAAUACCUAAUCUUUCCGUUUACAGUUUUCCAAGUUCUGAUGUAGGCCAUCACACUAACACUGUCUCUGCUUCUCAGCAAAACUUUACUCCUCAAAGCGCCUGGCUGUCAUUUACCACUCACCUGAGUUCACUGCCACCCUUUACUGCCUGGGAUUGAUUAGUCACCUUCAGUCCCCCCACACCUUCCUCAGCUCUGUCUACACCUGGGUUGGUGAUGCCUUGGGGAGAGUCAUGUAUCGAUGGAUUUCUCAGCAGGACUUUCUUUUGUUCUUUUUGAGACAAGGUCUCACUGUGUGGCCUGGGCUGGUCUGGAACUCAUAAGCCCCCCCCAAUGACCUUCCUGUCUCAGCCUCCUGAGUAGCUGGGACUAUCAACAUGUGGCACCAUGCCCAGCUCUGAGAUUUUUCCUCCUGUCUGCACCAUGGACAGCCUUGGGCAGUGGGGAGUAGGCACCUCUCUCUGACUUUAUCGAGUUCUUCUCCUUGAAGCUGCAACCUAAGCCCCCUUCCUCCGCACCCCGUGUGACCUUGAGUGGAGUGGGUCUGCUGCACCAUGGCCGGGCACCCCACACACAGUGACAGUGGCAGUGUGUCCAUCUGCGUCUGUUCCCGCAGCAAUGCACGCUGGCUUGGAAUGCUUUUCAGUUUGACUGCAGGUAACUCAUCGUGCAGACAGAGCACUGAAGGGGGAGCCAUUCCCGGUGGCUUAGACCCUGGCUUAGAUUCGCAACGAGAUGCCCCAGCCCUCCUGUACUUGUUGGUAUAGUUCCCAGCACUGUGAAGCCAGUUAGGAGGAGUGGGCCUUGCCCAGAAAGAGCUCCAGGUGACGGCAGCUCACCCCAGACUCACCAGUGUGCUGCCGUUGUGCAUGUUGUGCAGGUCCCGGUGGGCAUGGGCGCAGAAGUCCAAGCAGGCGGUGACCCCCGAGAAUGGGCGUCCCUCCUUCAGCCCCAGCCGGCAGUCGGGGGCUCUGUGUUCCAGCUCCACCUGAGAGACGGGGGUGGGUGUGAGGUGGGGAUGGGCCUCCCAGCUGACAGGAGCCCUCCGCAGUGCUUGGGCUGUGUCCAACUUUUAGGAAAAUUCUGGGCCUGACAUCCAGGAACACAAUGACCCAAAACAGCAGAUUCCUGAACCCAGGGAAGUCUGCAUUUCGUUACUGGGGUGUAACUGACAGCCUUCAGGGGGUUCUGUAUCCUGGGUCUACCCCGGGCUCACACAGCCGUCAAGUGCUCUGCCAACUGGCUGCAUUCGCAGCCCCCCGAUUAUUGUUCUUAAGCAGCAGGUGUGCUCUAGGUGAGCACUUUUCUCAUGCAUCCACGUCCAUGUCCACAGGCCCACUGCUGCACACAAAUCUAAUUUCCACUGGGCACCUGAGUUUCCCUCAUGCACCUUUGGAACUCAUGUCUCCCGCUCUGUCUCCACACAGCAGCAGAUUUGCUUUCUGCUGCCACAGAUUGCUUUGCACUUUAAACGGGUCCACUAGAACUGAAUUUUUAUAUAUCUGUGAAGUGCUAAGGUUGCUUCUUGGG